CAGAAGAAAAGUUUCUAAGUUAAUAAUACAUUUCAUGUUAAACUUGAUUUAGCAGUGCUGUAGUUCAGGUGUUUUUGAUUGUGUGGUGCUGUAGUUCAGGUGUUUGUGAUUGUGUGGUGCUGUAGUUCAGGUGUGUGUUUCGGGUGUUUAUGAUUGUGUGGGGCUGUAGGUCAGGUGUGUGUUUCAGGUGUUUGUGAUUGCGCGGGGCAGUAGGUCAGGUGUGUGUUUCAAGUGUUUGUGUGGUGCUGUAGUUCAGGUGUGUGUUUCGGGUGUUUGUGGUUGUGCGGGGCUGUAGUUCAGGCAUUUGUGAUUGUGCGAUGCUGUAGUUCAGGUGUUUAUGAUUGUGCUGUAGUUCAGGUGUGUGUUUCAGGUGUUUGUGAUUGUGUGGGGCUGUAGGUCAGGUGUGUGUUUCAGGUGUUUGUGCGGUGCUGUAGUUCAGGUGUGUGUUUCGGGUGUUUGUGAUUGUGCGGGGCUGUAGUUCAGGCGUUUGUGAUUGUGCGAUGCUGUAGUUCAGGUGUGUGUUUCAGGUGUUUGUGCAGUGCUGUAGUCCAGGUGUGUGUUUCGGGUGUUUGUGGUUGUGCGGGGCUGUAGUUCAGGCGUUUGUGAUUGUGCAAUGCUGUAGUUCAGGUGUGUGUUUCAGGUGUUUGUGCAGUGCUGUAGUUCAGGUGUGUGUUUCGGGUGUUUGUGGUUGUGCGGGGCUGUAGUUCAGGUGUGUGUUUCAGGUAUUUUUGAUUGUGCGGUGCUGUAGUUCAGGUGUUUGUGGUUGUGCGGGGCUGUAGUUCAGGUGUUUGUGAUUGCUCGGGAUUGUGCAGUGCUGUAGUUCAGGUGUGUGUUUUGGGUGUUUGUGAUUGUGUGGUGCUGUAGUUCAGGUGUGUGUUUCAGGUGUUUGUGAUUGUGCUGUAGUUCAGGUGUGUGUUUCAGAUGUUUGUGAUUGUGCUGUAGUUCAGGUGUGUGUUUCAGGUGUUUGUGAUUGUGCUGUAGUUCAGGUGUGUGUUUCAGGUGUUUCUGAUUGUGCUGUAGUUCAGGAGUGUGUUUCAGGUGUUUGUGAUGGUGCUGUAGUUCAGGUGUGUGUUUCAGGUGUUUGUGAUUGUGCUGUAGG